ACGCUGGCGGCGUGCCUAAUACAUGCAAGUAGAACGCUGAAGGAGGAGCUUGCUCUCUCUGGAUGAGUUGCGAACGGGUGAGUAACGCGUAGGUAACCUGCCUGGUAGCGGGGGAUAACUAUUGGAAACGAUAGCUAAUACCGCAUAACAGUAGAUGUUGCAUGACAUUUGCUUAAAAGGUGCAAUUGCAUCACUACCAGAUGGACCUGCGUUGUAUUAGCUAGUUGGUGGGGUAACGGCUCACCAAGGCGACGAUACAUAGCCGACCUGAGAGGGUGAUCGGCCACACUGGGACUGAGACACGGCCCAGACUCUACGGGAGGCAGCAGUAGGGAAUCUUCGGCAAUGGACGGAAGUCUGACCGAGCAACGCCGCGUGAGUGAAGAAGGUUUUCGGAUCGUAAAGCUCUGUUGUAAGAGAAGAACGAGUGUGAGAGUGGAAAGUUCACACUGUGACGGUAUCUUACCAGAAAGGGACGGCUAACUACGUGCCAGCAGCCGCGGUAAUACGUAGGUCCCGAGCGUUGUCCGGAUUUAUUGGGCGUAAAGCGAGCGCAGGCGGUUAGAUAAGUCUGAAGUUAAAGGCUGUGGCUUAACCAUAGUACGCUUUGGAAACUGUUUAACUUGAGUGCAAGAGGGGAGAGUGGAAUUCCAUGUGUAGCGGUGAAAUGCGUAGAUAUAUGGAGGAACACCGGUGGCGAAAGCGGCUCUCUGGCUUGUAACUGACGCUGAGGCUCGAAAGCGUGGGGAGCAAACAGGAUUAGAUACCCUGGUAGUCCACGCCGUAAACGAUGAGUGCUAGGUGUUAGACCCUUUCCGGGGUUUAGUGCCGUAGCUAACGCAUUAAGCACUCCGCCUGGGGAGUACGACCGCAAGGUUGAAACUCAAAGGAAUUGACGGGGGCCCGCACAAGCGG
rnacentral:rRNA from 1 species